CCUACGGGAGGCAGCAGUGGGGGAUAUUGGACAAUGGGGGGAACCCUGAUCCAGCGACGCCGCGUGAGUGAAGAAGUAUCUCGGUAUGUAAAGCUCUAUCAGCAGGGAAGAAGAAAUGACGGUACCUGAGUAAGAAGCCCCGGCUAACUACGUGCCAGCAGCCGCGGUAAUACGUAGGGGGCACGCGUUAUCCGGCAUUACUGGGUGGACAGGGAGCGUAGACGGGGAUGUAAGUCUGGAGUGAAAGGCGGGGGCCCAACCCCCGGACUGCGCAGGAAACUAUGUGACUGGAGUGCAGGAGGGGGGAGCGGAAUUCCUGGUGUAGCAGUGAAAUGCGUAGAUAUUAGGAGGAACACGAGUGGCGAAGGCGGGUCCCUGGACUGUAACUGACGUUGAGGCACGAAGGCGUGGGGAGCAAACGGGAUUAGAUACCCCAGUAGUC
rnacentral:rRNA from 1 species